rnacentral:lncRNA from 1 species
GCGCCUGCCACCAUGGGGUCUGGUUCAUGAAUGGGAUUGCAAGGUGCCACCAUAGCACCAGCGGUGGAUUUGCUGGGAUCUUGUCCAUGGGAGCUGAACUAGAGACUCGCCCUAUGCGACUUCCAAGGCCCUGAUUGUAGCAGUUUGCACUGAAAGAGCGAACAGACUUUGGUGGUUCUCCUCUCUUGAAGUUCCUUCCACAUGCAUCAAACACAGACUCCGCUGCCUGUUGGGUGAGCUGCAAUCUGGCUGGGCUUCGCCAUCUAGCCACUAAUGGUGUUGCAGGGCCUGCACUGGAGCCGCUGCUUGGGGUGAUGUGGAUCCUGGCAACAGCGUGCACAGAGUGGAGGGCAUAGAAGCCUGUGGCCAGAGAUGCUUUGGGGAAAAGGAAAGCAAAGUACU